CUUAAGCAUAUCAAUAAGCGGAGGAAAAGAAACUAACAAGGAUUCCCCUAGUAACGGCGAGUGAAGAGGGAAAAGCUCAAAUUUUGAAUCUGGUGUCUUUGACUCCCGAGUUGUAAUCUAGAGAAGUGUUUUCCGCGUUGGACCGUGCAAAAGUUCCCUGGAACGGGGCGUCAUAGAGGGUGAGAAUCCCGUAUAUGGCACGGACUACCAUUGCUAUGUGAUACACUCUCAACGAGUCGAGUUGUUUGGGAAUGCAGCUCAAAAUGGGUGGUAAAUUCCAUCUAAAGCUAAAUAUUGGCGAGAGACCGAUAGCGAACAAGUACCGUGAGGGAAAGAUGAAAAGCACUUUGGAAAGAGAGUGAAACAGUACGUGAAAUUGUUGAAAGGGAAGCGUUUGAAGUCAGUCACGUCUGUCGGAAUUCAGCCUGGCUUCUGCCUGGUGUAUUUUCUGGCUGACGGGUCAGCAUCAAUUUCGACCGAGGGAAAAAGACUUGGGGAAUGUGGCUGUCUUCGGGCAGUGUUAUAGACCCUUGUUGUAUAUCUCGGUUGGGAUUGAGGAACGCAGCGCGCCUUUUGGCCGGGGUUCGCGCCCUCGGUACGCGCUUAGGAUGCUGGCAUAAUGGCUUUAAGCGACCCGUCUUGAAACACGGACCAAGGAGUCUAACAUGUGCGCGAGUGUUUGGGUGUUAAACCCGGGCGCGUAAUGAAAGUGAAAGGUCGGGAUCAUGAACUUGUGCACCGACGCCCGGAGCAGACCUUCUGUGACGCAUCCGCGGUAGAGCGUAUAUGUUGGGACCCGAAAGAUGGUGAACUAUGCCUGAAUAGGGUGAAGCCAGAGGAAACUCUGGUGGAGGCUCGUAGCGAUUCUGACGUGCAAAUCGAUCGUCAAAUUUGGGUAUAGGGGCGAAAGACUAAUCGAACCAUCUAGUAGCUGGU
rnacentral:rRNA from 1 species